UACGUAUGGCGCAAGCGUUGUCCGGAAUUAUUGGGCGUAAAGAGCUCGUAGGCGGUUUUUCGCGUCUGCUGUGAAAACCUAAGGCUCAACCUUGGGCUUGCAGUGGGUACGGGCAGACUAGAGUGCGGUAGGGGUGACUGGAAUUCCUGGUGUAGCGGUGAAAUGCGCAGAUAUCAGGAGGAACACCGGUGGCGAAGGCGGGUCUCUGGGCCGAUACUGACGCUGAGGAGCGAAAGCGUGGGGAGCGAACAGG
rnacentral:rRNA from 1 species